ensembl:snRNA U6 U6 spliceosomal RNA
GUGCCUGCUUUGACAGCACAUAUAAUUAAAUUGGAACUAUACAGAGAAGGUUAUCAUGGCCUCUAGGCAAGGAUGACACACAACUUCAUGAAGCCUUUCAUGGUUUU